UCACUUCUUUCGAUUCUUGGAAAAGUGU
rnacentral:sRNA from 1 species